UACAGAGGUCUCAAGCGUUGUUCGGAUUCAUUGGGCGUAAAGGGUGCGUAGGUGGCGUCGUAAGUCGGGGUGUGAAAUUUCGGAGCUUAACUCCGAAACUGCAUUCGAUACUGCGGUGCUUUGAGGACUGGGAGAGGAGACUGGAAUUUACGGUGUAGCAGUGAAAUGCGUAGAGAUCGUAAGGAAGACCAGUGGCGAAGGCGGGGUCUCUGGACAGUUCCUGACACUGAGGCACGAAGGCCAGGGGGAGCAAACGGGG
rnacentral:rRNA from 1 species